ACUCCUGCGGGAGGCAGCAGUGGGGAAUUUUGGACAAUGGGCGAAAGCCUGAUCCAGCAAUGCCGCGUGCAGGAUGAAGGCCUUCGGGUUGUAAACUGCUUUUGUACGGAACGAAAAAGCUCCUUCUAAUACAGGGGGCCCAUGACGGUACCGUCAGAAUAAGCACCGGCUAACUACGUGCCAGCAGCCGCGGUAAUACGUAGGGUGCGAGCGUUAAUCGGAAUUACUGGGCGUAAAGCGUGCGCAGGCGGUUAUGUAAGACAGAUGUGAAAUCCCCGGGCUCAACCUGGGAACUGCAUUUGUGACUGCAUGGCUAGAGUACGGUAGAGGGGGAUGGAAUUCCGCGUGUAGCAGUGAAAUGCGUAGAUAUGCGGAGGAACACCGAUGGCGAAGGCAAUCCCCUGGACCUGUACUGACGCUCAGGCACGAAAGCGUGGGGAGCAAACAGGAUUAGAAACCCGGGUAGUCCCAUGAU
rnacentral:rRNA from 1 species